rnacentral:ncRNA from 1 species
CCCGCUGAACUUAAGCAUAUUAAUAAGCGGAGGAAAAGAAACUAACAAGGAUUCCCCUAGUAACGGCGAGUGAAGCGGGAAGAGCUCAAGCUUAAAAUCUCCGUGCAAGUUUUGCGCGGCGAAUUGUAGUCUAUAGAGGCGUGAUCAGUGUGGGCGCUUGGGGCAAGUUCCUUGGAAGAGGACAGCAUGGAGGGUGAUACUCCCGUUCAUCCCUGAGUUGCUCGUGCGUACGAUCCGUUUUCUUUGAGUCGCGUUGUUUGGGAAUGCAGCGCAAAGUAGGUGGUAAAUUCCAUCUAAAGCUAAAUAUUGGUGCGAGACCGAUAGCGAACAAGUACCGUGAGGGAAAGAUGAAAAGAACUUUGAAAAGAGAGUUAAAGAGUACCUGAAACUGCUGAAAGAGAACCGAAUCGUUUCCAGUGUCUAUAAUCCGUGGUAUAUUUCAUUGGCGAGUGUGUGCGUGCGUGUGCUGUGGCAGCGGCUUUUUUGGCUGCGCUCGGCGUGUGUGCUGUGUGUGCUUGCUGGUGCCCUGUGCUGCGGUGGGACGUCAAGGUCAGUUCGUAUGCUGCGGGAAAUGGCCGCCGAGGAGGUAGGGCUUACGCUUGCGUUUGUCUGUUAUAUCUUGGUGGACGAGUAGUCGCGGUUGGGACUGAGGUGCCUACAACGUGUUUUUGAGUGGGCCUGUGUCUCUGUGUGCGCCGUGUGCGGAUAGCUUGCUAUGCGUGUGUGGUUGUGUGUGGAUUGAUGUGGGUUUUAACUUGUUGCCGUUCGGGACGUUGACGAAAUGGAGCGAUUUGACCCGUCUUGAAACACGG